AGUAAUUAGGAAGGCACGUUUUGGGUCCCACAGAGAAAAACGACGUGGCCGCAACACAAGCCAGUUAUGACGGUGAAAAGUGAAAAUGGGUUUUCCUCCCGUGUGAUCACUCACUCCCUUUGAAUUUAUCAACUUGUUUACCCAAUCACCGUUCGCGUCAUCGCCCUUGUUUUAGGUAAGAAUUGAUAGUGACAUAAUA
rnacentral:lncRNA from 1 species